rnacentral:rRNA from 1 species
UACGGAGGGUGCAAGCGUUAUCCGGAAUCAUUGGGUUUAAAGGGUCCGCAGGCGGAUUAAUAAGUCAGUGGUGAAAUCCUCUCGCUCAACGAGAGAACUGCCAUUGAAACUGUUAGUCUUGAAUUCGGUCGAAGUAGGCGGAAUGUGUCAUGUAGCGGUGAAAUGCAUAGAUAUGACACAGAACACCGAUAGCGAAGGCAGCUUACUAGACCUGGAUUGACGCUCAUGGACGAAAGCGUGGGGAGCGAACAGGAUUAGAAACCCUAGUAGUCC